CCUAGGGGUGGCAGCAGUGGGGAAUAUUGGACAAUGGGCGAAAGCCUGAUCCAGCCAUGCCGCGUGUGUGAAGAAGGCCUUCGGGUUGUAAAGCACUUUCAGUGGGGAAGAAAGCCUUGGGGCUAAUACCCUCGAGGAAGGACAUCACCCACAGAAGAAGCACCGGCUAACUCCGUGCCAGCAGCCGCGGUAAUACGGAGGGUGCGAGCGUUAAUCGGAAUUACUGGGCGUAAAGCGCGCGUAGGCGGUCUGAUAAGCCGGUUGUGAAAGCCCCGGGCUCAACCUGGGAACGGCAUCCGGUACUGUCCGGCUAGGGUGCAGGAGAGGAAGGUAGAAUUCCCGGUGUAGCGGUGAAAUGCGGAGAGAUCGGGAGGAAUAACAGUGGCGAAGGCGGCCUUGUGGACUGACACUGACGCUGAGGUGCGAAAGCGUGGGUAGCAAACAGGAGUAGAUACCCCUGUAGUC
rnacentral:rRNA from 1 species